rnacentral:rRNA from 1 species
GAUGAACGCUGGCGGCGUGCCUAAUACAUGCAAGUCGAGCGAACAGACGCGGAGCUUGCUCCUCUGACGUUAGCGGCGGACGGGUGAGUAACACGUGGAUAACCUACCUAUCAGACUGGGAUAACUUCGGGAAACCGGAGCUAAUACCGGAUAAUAUAUUGAACCGUAUGGUUCAAUAGUGAAAGACGGUUUUGCUGUCACUUAUAGAUGCUUCCGCGCCGCAUUAGCUAGUUGGUAAGGUAACGGCUUACCAAGGCGACGAUGCGUAGCCGAACUGAGAGAGUGAUCGGCCGCACUGGAGGUGAGACACGGUCCAGACUCCUGCGGGAGGCAGCAGUAGGGAAUCGUACGCAAUGGGCGGAAGCCUGACGGAGCGACGCCGCGUCAGUGAUGAAGGUCUUCGGAUCGUAAAACUCUGUUAUUAGGGAAGAACAAAUGUGUAAGUAAAUAUGCCCGUCUUGACGGUACCUAAUAAGAAAGCCACGGCUAACUACGUG